rnacentral:rRNA from 1 species
CGACAAGCUGUAACGGGGAGGGAAGUUUAGUACCGAAGUUUCUGAUGUCACACUGCCGAGAAAAGCUUCUAGCAAGAUUUAUAGGACCCGUACCGCAAACCGACACAGGUAGUUGAGGAGAGAAUCCUAAGGUGAGCGAGCGAACUCUCGUUAAGGAACUCGGCAAAAUGACCCCGUAACUUCGGGAGAAGGGGUGCUGGUAGCAAUACCAGCCGCAGUGAAUAGGCCCAGGCGACUGUUUAUCAAAAACACAGGUCUCUGCAAAAUCGAAAGAUGACGUAUAGGGGCUGACGCCUGCCCGGUGCUGGAAGGUUAAGAGGAGAGGUUAGCGCAAGCGAAGCUUUGAAUUGAAGCCCCAGUAAACGGCGGCCGUAACUAUAACGGUCCUAAGGUAGCGAAAUUCCUUGUCGGGUAAGUUCCGACCCGCACGAAAGGCGUAACGAUCUGGGCACUGUCUCAACGAGAGACUCGGUGAAAUUAUAGUACCUGUGAAGAUGCAGGUUACCCGCGACAGGACGGAAAGACCCCAUGGAGCUUUACUGUAGUUUGAUAUUGAGUGUUUGUGUCACAUGUACAGGAUAGGUAGGAGCUGAAGAAUCCGGGACGCCAGUUUCGGAGGAGGCAACGGUGGGAUACUACCCUUGUGACAUGACCACUCUAACCCGCACCCCUUACCGGGGUGGGAGACAGUGUCAGACGGGCAGUUUGACUGGGGCGGUCGCCUCCUAAA